rnacentral:rRNA from 1 species
AAUCUAACUUCAGGACGGGGACAACAGUUGGAAACGACUGCUAAUACCCGAUGUGCCGCGAGGUGAAACCUAAUUGGCCUGAAGAAGAGCUUGCGUCUGAUUAGCUAGUUGGUGGGGUAAAGGCCUACCAAGGCGACGAUCCGUAGCUGGUCUGAGAGGAUGAGCAGCCACACUGGGACUGAGACACGGCCCAGACUCCUACGGGAGGCAGCAGUGGGGAAUUUUCCGCAAUGGGCGAAAGCCUGACGGAGCAACGCCGCGUGAGGGAGGAAGGUCUUUGGAUUGUAAACCUCUUUUCUCAAGGAAGAAGUUCUGACGGUACUUGAGGAAUCAGCCUCGGCUAACUCCGUGCCAGCAGCCGCGGUAAUACGGGGGAGGCAAGCGUUAUCCGGAAUUAUUGGGCGUAAAGCGUCCGCAGGUGGUCAGCCAAGUCUGCUGUCAAAUCAGGUUGCUUAACGACCUAAAGGCGGUGGAAACUGGCAGACUAGAGAGCAGUAGGGGUAGCAGGAAUUCCCAGUGUAGCGGUGAAAUGCGUAGAGAUUGGGAAGAACAUCGGUGGCGAAAGCGUGCUACUGGGCUGUAUCUGACACUCAGGGACGAAAGCUAGGGGAGCGAAAGGGAUUAGAUACCCCUGUAGUCCUAGCCGUAAACGAUGGAUACUAGGCGUGGCUUGUAUCGACCCGAGCCGUGCCGAAGCUAACGCGUUAAGUAUCCCGCCUGGGGAGUACGCACGCAAGUGUGAAACUCAAAGGAAUUGACGGGGGCCCGCACAAGCGGNGGNGUAUGUGGUUU